rnacentral:rRNA from 1 species
GUGGGGAAUUUUGGACAAUGGGCGAAAGCCUGAUCCAGCCAUGCCGCGUGUGUGAAGAAGGUCUUCGGAUUGUAAAGCACUUUAAGUUGGGAGGAAGGGCAGUAAGUUAAUACCUUGCUGUUUUGACGUUACCGACAGAAUAAGCACCGGCUAACUACGUGCCAGCAGCCGCGGUAAUACGUAGGGUGCGAGCGUUAAUCGGAAUUACUGGGCGUAAAGCGUGCGCAGGCGGCUUUGCAAGACAGAUGUGAAAUCCCCGGGCUCAACCUGGGAACUGCUUUCAAAACUGCUGAGCUAGAGUACGGUAGAGGGUGGUGGAAUUUCCUGUGUAGCGGUGAAAUGCGUAGAUAUAGGAAGGAACACCAGUGGCGAAGGCGACCACCUGGACUGAUACUGACACUGAGGUGCGAAAGCGUGGGGAGCAAACAGGAUUAGAAACCCUAGUAGUCC